CCAGAUAUCGCACGUGGGCUGAUGCAAUUUGAUUGAUGAGAAACCCUCAAGUUAAAUUUAGUGCUUGAAUAGUGUUUUUGAUGUGCACUUUGGAAGAUGCAGUCUGUUAACAUAGAAAACUACAAAUGCAAAGCAAAAUCAGAAAUAAGCAAUCACUCAUGAAUCCUAGACGGUAAUCAGGUGCAUGUGUUCAUGGAAACCUGCAAAUCGCAAGGCGAGGGGAGUUGGUCGAGGCCGAGGGAGACGAGGGCUGAUGCCCGGUUCUCCAGGGCCGGGACAGGCAGCAGACGAGAGCAGCGUUGUUGCUGGAGAGCACCUCAUUGCCGGUAAGUCUCGGCCGGAUGGUGCAACCAUGGGUAGGUACCAUAGAACUCUUCGAGUUCAAAAAUUUUCAAUUAUAACCGUUA
rnacentral:lncRNA from 1 species